UUUUUUUUUUAUUCAAAAGUAUUAUUGUAUUUAUUGAGUUUUCAAAUAUUUACCUAAGUACACACGAAUUAAAAGUGAAACCGCAAAAGGCUCAUUAUAUCAGUUAUGGUUCCUUAGAUCGUUAACAGUUACUUGGAUAACUGUGGUAAUUCUAGAGCUAAUACAUGCAAUUAAAACACGGACCUUAUGGGACGUGUGCUUUUAUUAGGCUAAAACCAAGCGAUCGCAAGAUCGUUACAUUGGUUGAAUUCUAGAUAACAUGCAGAUCGUAUGGUUUAGUACCGACGACAGAUCUUUCAAAUGUCUGCCCUAUCAACUUUUGAUGGUAGUAUCUAGGACUACCAUGGUUGCAACGGGUAACGGGGAAUCAGGGUUCGAUUCCGGAGAGGGAGCCUGAGAAACGGCUACCACAUCUAAGGAAGGCAGCAGGCGCGUAAAUUACCCACUCCCAGCUCGGGGAGGUACACUUUAAAUCCUUUAACAAGGACCAAUUGGAGGGCAAGUCUGGUGCCAGCAGCCGCGGUAAUUCCAGCUCCAAUAGCGUAUAUUAAAGUUGUUGCGGUUAAAACUUUCGUAGUUGAACUUGUGCUUCAUACGGGUAGUACAACUUACAAUUGUGGUUAGUACUAUACCUUUAUGUAUGUAAGCGUAUUACCGGUGGAGUUCUUAUAUAUAAUUAAGUACUUGUAUUUUUUUAUAUAUUCCUCCUAUUUAAAACCCUGCAUUAGUGCUCUUCAUCGAGUGUUAUUGUGGGCCGGUACAAUUACUU
rnacentral:ncRNA from 1 species